AGUCAAUGGGCGCCGGUAUUCGGCCAAUGGCGGCGCCCAAAGAAUCUUUUGCCGGAUAGCGAGACAGCGGUCCUGAAACGUGCCAGACAAGCUGAGUAGAAGCUACGGUUAGCUUGUAGUCUAGGUUCUUUUAAACAUGCAUCCACAACUAUGUGAACAUGAGCUUUAAGGCUAAAUUGGAGCAGUGAGGAAGAAUCGCAGGUUGAUGCCUAACUUUAACGUUAGGCCAUUGGGCUAGUUUUUGCCCUGGUCCUCUGACAUCCAUCCGUGAACGGCGCUGCUAUUCACCGUCUGCUCGAAAAUAUUUCUCAGGACAGCUACUAGCCUCUGCGAGAGAUCUGCCGCUGCUACGACCAAGGAACUGCUGCUGACCUGCGAGCUGCCAUGAUAGCAGCCUGCCCUGCAGUCAGGAUUGAGUAGCCUAGCUAACGUCGAAGAACUCUCACGAAACAACUGUCGCUGUCAAAGUCCACCGACCCGCUGAUCUGCAGGAUCGCCCAACUGUUCUGUGCUUUCAGUGCUCCCCAGACUGCCAGUAAUCUUCCUCCGACACAGCUGAGCGCCGUCGUCAUCAUCAUCAGGACAUCAGCCGGUUAGAUGCAACGGCCAUAUGUUAACAUGACAUUUUCUUUCAGUGCGUUUAGCGGAGUUUGUUUAUCAACAUAAGCCGUAUAUUUCACAUAUUGGUUUGUGUUAUGUUCUAGGCCUAAGCUUAGGCUAGCGGACACAGUGUUCUCUUUUGCCUUUUUGAAAUAAAAAACUAUUUUAGAAAAUUA